GUUGUCAAAAAACAGUUGUUUAUUAUUCCAAAAGAGUAGGAAACGUGGGAGGUAGUGUUUGGUCAGUUUCUUUCUUUCGCAAUUAUGUACUGGAAAACUGGGAAAUGAAAGGCAGUUUUUGAGUUCUUUUCUAAAUUUUAUUCUCUGCAGUCAGAUGGUAAUUUUGUUCCAUUGCUAUUCUAGAAUUUGGCAGGUUUUAGAAGGUGAUCUUGGACGACUAAUCUUCGUUCUCGUGGUAUGACUGUAUCGAGGGUCAGGGUUAGUUAAUUCUGCUCGGCGAGGCUUACGAGUGGUGUGGCUGUAUCUCGUGAGAACCGUUGUUGUGAUUCGUUAUUGUCGGGUAUUUAUCGAUCCAGUUUUAAGCUUGUUGCUAUCAUACUGCUACUCUAACAAAAGUUUCAUUGUUGCUUAAACGUGGGCACACUCAGAUUUCUUGCCAAAAUUGUAAUCCUCAAACAGAGAAACUACAAUGAGUAACUUCAUUAAUUUGUUUCUCUAUUAGAAUUUAUUGGUCUUCUAAUGUUGACCAUAUGCAUGCUAAAUUAUUAAAGAUUUCUAAGUCAGUGGGAGCAGUAAAAGUCCUUAUCAGGACUUGCCAGAAGUGCAAGAGGCGGGGGGAAGAGACCUAUUAAAUUUUACUCCGAUUACACCUCUUGCACACCAUACUGCACCAACUCUUACACGCUUAGAAUUAUGAAAGUGAUAGCAAUUUAGGCAAAAGUUAAUCCAUAAAACACUUUAGAAAACCUAAUAAUCAACUAAGGAGGUCAUCUAGGUUUAAAGUCUACUAACUUUGAUGAUUAUGUAUCCUCCCUAACUGAAGUUGAAAUGGAUAUUAGAAAGUUUACUGAUCCUACCUUUUCUAAUUAAGCCAUUAGCAUCAAUCAAUUUUCUAAAUGGAAUAAAAAAAUUGUUAUUAGCAAAUUUGAUUUUAUGUGUCAAAAUAACGUUUGGGAUUUGGUUGAAUUACCUAAAUCCAAAUGCAAAUGUUAAGACACUAAAAGCAUGAUUGAUUGUUAAAGGUUAUGCUCAUAAGAGAAGUAGUUAUCAAAGAAUCAUCUUACUUUUCUAACAAAAAGUUUUUUGAGGAUCAUUGUUGUUCUAGUGGCUUAUAAUCAUUUAGAGCUACAUUAUAAUGAACAUUAAAACAACUUUCCUUAAACAAAGACUUAAAUGUUCAUAAAACAGCCUGAAAGUUCUAAACUGAAGGUCAAGAACACUUACUUUGUAUGUCAAUAACUUCCAUGUAUAGGUUGAAGCAAGCAUCAAAAUAUGAUGAAAUAUUAAUACAAUUCUUUUCAUCAAGAGUUAAGUGUAUUUAUGUACCUACCUCAAGAUGAGUGGGAGCAACUAAUGUAAACUUGUCCCAACUAAUGUAAACUUGUCCUUAUAGUGAUCGCAUUCUUUUGAUAAGUAUAUGUUACACAAUUCGAAUAAUUUCUCACACAUAUUUUGAUAUAAUGAAUCUCGGAGAUACCACUUACGUUAGAGAUAUCAAAAUAUACAGAGAUUGACCCAACGGGACAUUAGUUUGGUCCCAUAAGCUUUACUCUAAAGCAGGCUCUUACAUGUGUAACAAACAUUAUUGCUUUCCUUUAAAGGAUAAAAUGAUAAAUGAGUUUACUUCCUUAUGCUUCAUUAGUUAGAAGCCUUACGAAGGUUCAAGUCUAUACUCGUUUAGAUAUUGCUCACAUUGAUGAACAUUAGACCACUCUAGAUUAUUGUGAAGCAUCUUACAAUAUCUCUAAGAAACGAGAGAGACUAUAAGAAGAGGUUGAUUAUUCUUACCUUGAUUUUGUAAUAUUCAAAAGAAACUAAAAGUCAAUUUGGGGUAAAAACCUUAUGUCUGCAGACAAAUCUAUCUCAUGGAUGAGUCAUAAGAAACUGUUAACAACAACAUAAAUUAUAAUGACAUAAUAUGUUGUUAAUUAACAACGCAGUUGUCACUAAAUGUUGUUGAUAAUUUAUCAAUGGACUCAUAAACUUGUUAACUCCAUAUAAAUACUAUAUUGAAGACUUACUGUGAAAAGUCAGCUACCUUAUUUCCUCGAGCAGUAAUAGUUCGAGAGGUGCUGCAUUAAACUUCGAUACAAAAUUAUUGUUCGUUUAUGAACAAGAAGAGGAACCUAAAUACUUGUAUCAAAUACAUUUACAUUCAUGAUAUGCUUGCGGAUCCGAUAACUAAGGUCUACACCCAAAGUCUUUUUAAGAGCUCAUAAUAAAGACGGGUUUUACUAAAGGCCUUACAUAAUAGCAUAUCGUACAUAUGAAUGAUUAGUUAUUAUUUUUCCUUAAUUAUAAAAUUUGUUUGUCUAUAAAUACGUAUGUGCACCUAAUGACGUAUAGACAAGAAUUAUACAAAUUAAUUUUAAAGGGCUUACUUCAGUCAUUUUGGUCUUAAAUUUACGUAUGUUUUGAUUUGGGGUUGUAACGUGAUUAAUGGGGGUCUUGAGUUGAAAAUAACUCAAUGACUGUAUUUUUCUGUUGCAAUUUCAAUUUGAAACAUUAAUUAAUGUUUUAACUUGGCCAAACUUAGUUAUACUUAUCACAAAUGAUCACUCGGCCAAGUGGGAGAAUGUUAGAAAUAACCCGUUGAUGUGGCCUUACGGAUCAUUUGGUAACAUUACCAAUAUGACAUAACUAGUCUCCCACAAUUACUUGAUGGUAGUAAUUGUAAAUAUUGAUUAGUUCAAGGGACAAUUAUGAUUUCCCUUUAGGUACCAUUAAUAGAGAAUACAUAGAGUUUUUAUAACGGAUCACUAUUCAUGACCAUUAUUCAUUGAUCUUUAUAUAUUGAUGAUAAGUGCUGAUCAAAAACUCUUGUAGAACACCAAUACAAAAAAUUCUCUCUAGUGUGAUUCAUCAACACAAGGUACCAUAACGGGAAUCAUGGCUUCAUCUUUAUCCUCAAAGAUAAUCAUCCCUACAAGUAAGUAUCUCUAAUUUGGUAUCUAUAUUUAGAUUAUGAUUGAAUAAACAUGAUUAGGGUUCUAUGUUUUUAACCCAUGUUUAAAGAUAUAAUCAACAUUAUAGUCAUAGAUACAUUAGUCACGCAUAUAGAAAGAAUCUAGAUAAGUACUUUUAAGGUGAGAUGACCAAAUUAUUACUUAAUAUAAUCUCAGAUUAGGAUAGAACUGGAAUUAGAUUGCAAUUAGAAUUGGUUUCAUAUGUCUAUAUAUUUACGUGUUAUAAUCAUUAACGAAAGAUAAACAUAAUAUUUGUCUUUUAUCAAGUUUCCAUAAAUAGAUCCCCAGCCUAGUAGCAUAACCAGGUGAUAUGAUUUAAAUUAAAAUGUCAUUUUCGUCCCUGAGAAAUGGUGGUAAGCGUUCGGAAACAGGAUAAAGGAAAGGGAGUGAUCGGCGGAGGAGCCACGUCGGUGAGAAGAAAGCUUGUGGUGU
rnacentral:lncRNA from 1 species